rnacentral:rRNA from 1 species
GACGAACGCUGGCGGCGUGCUUAACACAUGCAAGUCGAACGAAAAGAGGGAAAGAGCUUGCUCUUUCCGGAAUUGAGUGGCAAACGGGUGAGUAACACGUAAACAACCUGCCUUCAGGAUGGGGACAACAGACGGAAACGACUGCUAAUACCGAAUAAGUUCCAAGGGCCGCAUGGCCCAUGGAAGAAAAGGUGGCCUCUACCUGUAAGCUAUCGCCUGAAGAGGGGUUUGCGUCUGAUUAGCUGGUUGGAGGGGUAACGGCCCACCAAGGCGACGAUCAGUAGCCGGUCUGAGGGGAUGAACGGCCACACUGGAACUGAGACACGGUCCAGACUCCUACGGGGGCAGCAGUGGGGAAUCUUCCGCAAUGGGCGAAAGCCUGACGGAGCAACGCCGCGUGAGUGAUGACGGCCUUCGGGUUGUAAAACUCUGUGAUCCAGGACGAAAAGGCAGAGUGCGAAGAACAAACUGCAUUGACGGUACCGGAAAAGCAAGCCACGGCUAACUACGUG